rnacentral:rRNA from 1 species
UGCGCAGGUGGUUUUGUAAGUCAGAUGUGAAAGCCCCGGGCUCAACCUGGGAACUGCGUUUGAAACUACAAGACUAGAGUGUGGCAGAGGGGGGUGGAAUUCCGCGUGUAGCAGUGAAAUACGUAGAGAUGUGGAGGAACACCGAUGGCGAAGGCAGCCCCCUGGGUUAACACUGACGCUCAGGCACGAAAGCAUGGGGAGCAAACAGGAUUAGAUACCCUGGUAGUCC